CCUCCCUCUUUGUGUCCUGAGUUUCCAGCUUGCUGUGAAGUUGUGGAACACCGGGGUAGGUCUGGUGCAGGGAAGGGGGCCUGCCUGAGUGUGGGAGGCCCCGACACCUCUGGUCUCCCCCUGUGUGUCCUGGGUCCCUCUCGGGGCACAGGCUGUCACAUAGCUCCUUCCAGCGCUGCCAUCCUGGGGGACUUUGGUUGGUUUUUGAUAGCUUGCCUCCGGCUUGGCACAGGAGGAGGAAAAGGUGUACCAGGCUCUCAUCCGUUCCUGUGGCCGCCUGCCCAGAGGGGGAAUCUCUGACAAUGACCCAGGGUCUGGGGUGGGCAUUGCUGUCCAUACCCAGACCCUCCUCCCAGUGGGGUCCCCUCGACGGCUUCCUCCCCAGUACAAGCCCGGCCCUUCCUUGCAAACCUUUCUGGAUGUUCUAGUUGCUCCAGCCGUGUCCCCGCAGAGAAGAGAGGGGGCACUCUUGCCCUACUGGCAGCUUUUCUCAGCCCUGCAAACCUCCCACGCUGGUCCCGUCCCCCGUGCCCUCAGACUUGCAUAUCACCGCUGGGCAGGAGCGUCCCUUUAGGGUGGGAGAGUGGCCCUCGAAGUCGGCUGUGAAUUAAGUUAAUCUUUGAAAAGAAAUCAUGUGCUCAGGUUUAAAAAAAAACACAAGGAAAUGAUGUUGCAUUUUGUUUCUUCUAUUGAGAAAAAGAAAGAUCUGUAAAAUCCUAACAGUGACAAUGAGGGAGGCUGGAGAUGCUGCCUGGCUAGGAUAUAG
rnacentral:lncRNA from 1 species